AGCUUCAGGAAAUUAUCUGAAGUUAUACCUGCCCAAUGUAUAUUUAGGAUGAAUGGCCGCGGUACUUUGACCGUGCUAAGGUAGCGCAAUCAAUUGGUUUUUAAUUGGAGCCAGGUAUGAAUGGAGUUACGUGGUUUAGCUGUCUCCUGCUUAUUUUAUCGAAAUUACUAUGUAGGUGAAAAAGCCUAUAAUCAGAAAAAAGACGAGAAGACCCUUAGAGUUUUUUUUCAUAACAGUUUAGUUGGGGCAACGUAGGAGCAAAUCUCCAUUUAUCGAUUAUUUUAGUAUUGAUUAAACUACCUUAGGGAUAACAGCAUAAUUUUAUUAAUAAGUUUGUGACCUCGAUGUUGGACUGGGAAACUUUUAGGUUAGCCGCCUAACAGGUAAGUUCUGUUCGAACUAUAAUUCCC
rnacentral:rRNA from 1 species